AAUGCAUUGAAUAUGGCGACACCAAGUCCUCCCGGAGUUGUGCCUUUUGUCAUUAGUUUUGCUUUCAAUAACUUCAUAAACAGUGGCAGUAAGCAAACUGCUACAUUAGAGGUGUGUGUCACCAAGAGAAAUGAUGCCGUAUGAACAACGACGGACUUCAUCAGGCAUCUCAAAACGCACCCAGGUCA